UGUAAUACCCCGGAAAAUCCAAAUUAAAUUCCGUGGAUUUUUAGAAAUGAUUUCACGAUAGUAGGAGCGAGUACGAAGCUUGGAGAAGUUGUGGAAUUAGUUCGAACGAUUUUAUUUUCGAAAACGAACGUUUUUAGGGGGUCAACAAAGUUGACUUUUUAUACGUUCAAAAUUUGGGAAAACUUCCUUCAUGAAAGUUGUAGAGCUCGUCGAUACGAGUUCGUGGACAUGUGGAACGCAUUAUUCGGAGUUCGUAUGAAUAAGUUAUGAAUAUUUGAAAAUUGGGAAUUUUCUAUAAAUAUCAAAAAAAAUGUUGAUUUUUCAUUAAGGACGAAAACAUGUUGAAAUUGCGGAACAGUCCCCGCGUUUUCUCUGUUUUCCCCUCAGACCCGGCGGGUCGAGCUCGACCCGACCCGGCUUUUUCACCCCCCUCCAGCCUCCUCCGUCCCCGGACCCGGGCCUCCCUGGGAUCGCCGGCCCACGACGAGCCUCCCUCCGGUGUCGCCUCGCCCCGUCGCUGCUCCCAGACCCGGAUCGAAGAAGCCAGCCAAGAGGAAUCCGACCCGACCGGAAUUCCAUUUUUCCGGCGUUGCAUGGGCCGAUCGUUCCCAUUUUCGUGAUCUCCUCCUCCCCCUGAUCAUCCCCAUAUAGGCCUUGCUUGACGAUUUGGAGUGUGGAGUGAAAGAUCACGAGUUGAAGAUUUCGACGUCCCUGAUUCAAUCUGGAAUCUGAUCAGACGCACGAGAUUAAUCCAACUUCAACGCUUGAUCUAGGACGAUCUAGGCCGAACCAGGCUUAGCUCCAGGUGAUUGACGGUUUGAGUUGGUGGACGAUUGUGGAUCGUAUUUUGAGCUGAAUUUAAGACGCAGCGGGAUUAUCGAGCGGGUAAUCCUACAGGACGGGAGAACCAGGACGGUGAUCGUGCGGUUAGAGCAAUUGUUAGAGUUUUACAGCAAUUGUAAGUUGUGAGGUGUGUUAUGCUCAUUUAGAGCUUUACAAUAUUGCUUGUGAGAGUGAAUUGUAAUAAUGAACUCGAGGUUUCGAGAUUUGGAGUUUGUGUACCUUGUGGUGAGAUUAUAUUGAGAAAAAAAUUCAGAACGUUUAUUUAAUUAAGUGGUUUAAUUCAUGUUUCGGAUUUGAAUUUAUUAUUCAAAAUUCGGGGCGUGACAGUUUGGUAUCAGAGCGUAAGGUACAUAUUUGGUGAUAAUCAGUACCUCCCGAGUGAUGGCCCGUCUGCAGCGGAUCCCCAUCAUAUACUCUUCGGUACUGGUAAAAUCAUUGGGUAUGUCUUAGUAUGGGGUCUAGACAACGUGUAAGUCCGUAGGACGGUAGAGUUGUCUACUAAGUUCGUAUUAGAAUAAGUUUAGUUUCCGCGAGUUGUGAUCUUCGAGGAAUAGGAACCUCUGGAUUUAACUCUGAUGAGUCGGUGAGGUAGAGGUCGAGUCUGAUGUAGGGACAUGACCUUUCUAUGGAGACAGUUGAGGAUGAGGUGGAGGCAUUAGAGGUUGAGUUGCCUAGUCUACCUGUAGUUGAUGUGAUGGAUGUUAUUCUUGGGUUGAAAUGGUGAAAGAGAUUGAGACCCUAGGAAUAGUUGAAAAGAGAAUUGAUCUCACCAACUCAAGAUGAUAGGAG